rnacentral:rRNA from 1 species
CCUACGGGUGGCAGCAGUGAGGAAUAUUGGUCAAUGGGCGCGAGCCUGAACCAGCCAAGUAGCGUGAAGGAUGACUGCCCUACGGGUUGUAAACUUCUUUUAUCAAGGAAUAAAGUGAGGCACGUGUGCCUUGUUGUAUGGACUUGAUGAAUAAGGAUCGGCUAACUCCGUGCCAGCAGCCGCGGUAAUACGGAGGAUCCGAGCGUUAUCCGGUGUUAUUGGGUGUAAAGGGAGCGUAGAUGGGUUGUAAAGUCAGUUGUGAAAGUUUGCGGCUCAACCGUAAAAUUGCAAUUGAUAAUGGCAGUCUUGAGUACAGUUGAGGUAGGCGGAAUUCGUGGUGUAGUGGUGAAAUGCUUAGAUGUCACGAAGAACUCCGAUUGCGAAGGCAGCUUACUAAACUGCCACUGACAUUGAUGCUCGAAAGCGUGGGUAUCAAACAGGAUUAGAUACCCGAGUAGUC